UAGACCAUGUGAAUAAAUCUAUGAGAUUGAUUCAAAUAAUGAAGAAUAUGACUGUCUUUUUUUUCAGGUUAUACGGAGAAGGACAAAGGACGAGGACUUGAAAAGUAUCAGAUUUAUAAGAACUCCAUGGUUCCUGAGAAAGAGAACAUCCAAAAUAUUUUUUCAUUUCCUACAUCUGCUAUUAAAAUUGAGAAAUACACUCAAGAAGUUGAAACAAGUAAGAUAUUUUUGAUUAUGAGGCCGACUUUCUUGUAGUUAAUGUCUAUCAUUUUCGAUGAAAAAUGACUGAACCUAUUGAUUUAAUUGUGUUGAAGAUAAAUGUCUUUUCCUACUUUUUUUUGUUUGGACUUCUCCACUGUUGAUCCAUACAACUACUAUCAAACAUUUUAAACCAACUAGCACAAUAAAUUGCAGAAGAAAGGGACUAGAGAAAAGAAAUUUCUGAAUCUGAGGUGGGAUCUUUUAACAACAGUGUUGGUUGUUCUAAUCAACGUAUGCAAACUCUUUCUAAAAGCAUAAAAUCGAGUUCUACCUCUUCCUCUAGUCAAGAAAUAAGAAAAAUGAAAAAUAUUGUUCUUAAGAAAGAUGGUAUGCAGACCAAUGUUUCAUUGUCUCCUUCUAUUAAUCAAGUCAUGAAGCACUCUCAAACAACUGAAAACGGUAUGAUAUGUUAAAUUCAUAUAUUAUUAUGUUUUUGAAUUGAGUUUGAUUUCUAUAGUUAUUAUUAUAUUAUGCAACUUUAGGUUCAUCUAAUUCUACAAAGGUAAAAAAAGUUCGAGGAAGCAACAUGUGCAAAGAAGUUGCUUCACUUGAAAUUGGACAAAAGCUGAAAGUAACCUUUUACAAUAAUCGAAAGGUUGGAGCAAAUAUCAAUCUGUUUUCGAGGCAUUUGGGUAAAAUAGUUCGUGAUCGUAAUAUUUGUCCCUUGAGAGUAUCAUCGUGGCAUGAUAUUAAGCAAAAAAAGUUGAAUCAUAUGUGGGCGGCUGUUGAGCAUAAAUUUGAGAAUGUUGAUAUGAAUGAUCACCGUGAUCAUAUCUUGGGAUGGAUGAAUGAGUUAUGGAAUAAAUGGAGAGGACACUUGCAUGCAAAAUAUGUGAAGGACAAGCCACUUCAACAGUCUCUUAAGAAUGUCCCAAGGGGAGUAGACAAAAAAGAUGGGAAUGGUUAGUGAAAAGAGCACUUUGCUUAUGAAAGUUUUCAGGGAGGAAAAGAUGGAAAUCCACCAGAAGUGGCAACUAUUUUCUUUGAGACGCGUAAGAAAGAUAACAAGCUUGUUGAACCUGAAGCAAUUGAAAAAAACAUGCUCAACUCGAGGAAAUGGUUCAAGCAGAUCCAUCUCUACCUAUUAUAGAGAUUGUUGAAAAAUGUUGUGGACCUCAAACUCUUAGCCAUGUAUUUGGAAUAGGAGGUGGAUUAAAGGCAAAAGACUUGAAAGGUGGAACUUCUUCAAAGGCUGAAUUAUUGUCCGCGCUACGUUCAAUUCGAGAGGAUAUCAAAUUCUUGAAUGAAGAAAACAAAAUCUUGAAUGAGGAAAACAAAUCUUUGAAUGAUCGCUUGUCUACCAUAGAAGAUAAGAUGAAAGAUAUAAUGAAUAUGAAAGAAUUCUUCGUUGCUCAGCAGUCACAUGUCCCACCGACAACAACAUCAGUUUCAACCGAAUGAGCACUGCCUAUUCAGUUAACCAAGUUUAUGGAUGUUUCUGAAAAUCACAUGAAAAAGAGUAAACUUUUAAGUUUUUGCCCAACUUUUGCUCAUCUUCUGUGAAUCAUAGCUUAUAAGAUGCACCAACUCAUUCUUUCUUUGCUAUGAAUGUUAUGCAAAACAAUGGAUGUUGUCUUAGUUUUUUGUUUAUUAAUUAAGAAAAUAUUGAAACUUAAAUCUUUU